UCGACUUCAUCUGCGACUUCCGGCCAAGUUCAGUUAGGCACGAACGCAGGGGGGUGCAAUUGUAAAAUGUCGGUCAAAAAAUCGAUUUCGAGGACCAGCAGGAAUCCUGGGCGUGAAUUUUUCUGUUGUGCUUAUGGCUCGUGUGACUAUUUUCAAUGGGUUGAUUCUCAUUCAAUUCCACUAUCUUCUCAAUUUCAACAUGUAAACUGUAUGGAGAAGAUAAACUUUUGGAUUGGGGAAUACUUCAAGAUUUCCGAGUCAAAUGCUGUCUUCUUGAAGCACAACCAUGAUCUAAGAGUUGAACUCUCCAUUUUGGAAGCUGCAAAGAAGGGAAAUGACAGACACAUUCGAGCUCAACGUAUUGUAAUUGCAGGCCUUUUGGUGCUUGUGUUAGGUUUAAUGUUUAGAUAGAUUGGAGAAUGACAGGCUUGUACUCCUAAUUUGCAGAUGCUAUUUUCAGUAUUUGGUGGAUGAAUGCCUGAAAUAUGGCCAUUUUGUAUGUGUAAUCUUGUUUCAAUUAUGUAUGAAUGCCUGAAAAAUGGCCAUUUUCUA